GAUUUGGCUAGGGACAUACUAGCAAGAGAGAAAAAGCUGGAGAAGGUUCAGAAAAGGGUGACUGAAAUGAUCAACGGUUUGGAACUCACCAGCGAAAAAACAGUACAACUUUUUUUUUGGGGGGGGGAGAAGUCAAAUAAAGUGAAUGCAGGGGAACACCUGAUAGAGGUGUAUAAAAUGAGGCGUGGGCCUGAGAAAGGAGAUAAAGAUUCAGAAUGGAAUUUUUCACACAGCAGAGAGAACUGUGGGAUUUGCUCCCAGCAAGAUGUACUGAUGGCCACAAACUCAGGUGUCUUAGAAAAGCAAUCAGACAGAUUCAUAGAGGAUAUGAAUCUACUAGCCACAAUGACCAUCUUCUCCCACUACUGUUGGAGGAAAGAGGCCUCUGAUUACCAGUCGACAGGGAAUCCCAAGUGGGGAGAGUUGCUGUUGAGCUCAGGUCUUGGCUAUGGGCUUUGCAGAAGCAUCUGAUGAACCACUGUUAAGAACAGGAUGCUGGACUAGAUGGGCCAUUGGGUCUUCCUAUGUCCUUCAGAAAACCCAUCCAAUGCACACAAGGUACACUCCAUUUUCACACACACAUCCCGCAAAUCAUUAACUUAUUUUUUUCCACAGAUGUCCACUCCCGAUUGUAAAAAGAAGCCUCUGCAAUUGAAACUGAAUUCUAGCUACACUGGGAAACUCAAAAAAUAUAGGGCAUCUAAUAUAGGGCGACCAGAGAAUUCUCUGAAUAAUGGAUGCUCCUCAAAAUAAAAUAAAGAAGGGUCUCUGGCAGUCCCAAGCAGGACUGACGGCUUACAAUCGCUGCAAACCUUUUCUCCCGAAGGCUCGCCAAAGUCAGCUGAAUGAAGCAGACAGACAUACAGACAUCAUUUUAUUUGUAUGCCACCUUUCCACAGUUCAAACCAUGCUCAGCUUACCCCAAAACCCUACAUAACUACAACAAAAGUACAGUCAUACCUCGAGUUACAGACACUUCGGGUUGCGCGAUUUCGGGUUGCGCACCGUGCCGAACCCGGAAGUACUGGAAUGGGUUACUUCUGGGUUUCGACGCUUGCGCAUGCGCAGAAGUGCCAAAAAGUGACCUGCGCGUGCGCAGACACAGCGCUGCGGGUUGCAAACAUCCUUCCUGCAUGGAUCACGUUCGCAACCCGAGCGACCACUGUAGUCAUAAACAGUAAGCAAAACAUUAAAAAUAUAUAACCAAACCGAACAAUUUCCACAUAAAUCAUAACAGGAUUUAAAAUGAUGAUACAAAAAACCAACAGCAACUCCCCAGCCCAAAAGUCUGUUCAGCAACCUCAGCUUUUGCAGCUGGAGUCAGUCCAGGCUACCCCCCCCCCCCAGGCCAAGUGGGGAAAGGCCUUCCAGGACUCACAGCCAAGAUGGGUGCUUCCCUUACAGGCUCUGGACCUAGUGACUUCCAUGGCAACACUAGGGCUCUCCCAGUUUGUUUUGGGCCCCACUCAUCAAGCAGGCCACACGCUGGAUCUGAUCUUUGGGGCUGGCAUAGAUGUGAUCAUGCUCCCCGCUGUGGAAGUGCCAUGGUCUGAUCACUACUCUCUGAAAGCCAAGAUUGACUUCCCGCUCCUCCCCGGCUCGGGUGGCGAACCUAUUUGGGCUCGUCCGCGAAAACUGAUGGAUCCUGAUAGAUUCCGACAAGCCUUGCGGAACCCUGCUCCUCCUGGCGACUCAUUAGAUGACCUUGUUGAGGACUGGAAUAACCGGCUCUUGGCAGCCAUUGAUGAGAUCGCGCCUAAGCGCCCUCUGCGACCCCGUCGAAACCGGGCCCCUUGGUUUACUGAGGAGCUCCGGAAAAUGAAGCGGGAUCUCAGACGGCUAGAGCGAGUAUGGCGACGGACUCAUGACGGAGCCUCAAGAACAUCUUAUAGGACGCUUAUGAAAGCCUAUGAGAUGGCUAUGAAAGCUGCUAAGAAAUCUUACUUUGCAGCUUCCAUUGCAUCCGCUAGCUCUCGCCCGGCACAACUUUUUAGAAUAAUUAGGUCAAUAACGUCCUUAGGAGGACAACCAAAUUUAAGCACAAAUUCGACCCACAGCUGUGAGGCAUUCGUGAGCUUUUUUGCGGAGAAAGUCCUGUUGCUCCGCCGUGACCUCCCUGCCAAUUUAGAUACAGGGACUGAACUGGAGGCCCCUCGACUGACUUCAGGUCCAGUGUUGGACCAUUUCGAUCGAAUACUCCCUACUGAUGUGGAUAGAUUCCUCCAAGUUGGUAGGCCCACCACCUGCCUCCUUGAUCCGUGCCCAUCUUGGCUGAUUAGGGAGUGUCCAGAUGUUGCGCGGACCCCCCUGGUUGAAAUUAUCAAUUUGUCCCUUGACACGGGGACAUUCCCAGGGGAACUGAAGGAAGCAGUGGUAUGUCCACUCUUAAAGAAAACUUCAUCAGAUCCCUUAGACCUAUCCAAUUACCGCCCAGUUUCAAAUCUUCCAUACCUGGGUAAGGUAAUUGAGAGAGCGGUUGCUGAACAGCUUGGUAGGUUUCUGGAGGAAACAUCGGCAUUAGAUCCAUUUCAGUCCGGUUUCCGUCCUGAUUUUGGGACGGAGACGGCUCUGGUUGCCCUAACAGAUGAUCUCCGUAGACAACUGGAUCGAGGCGGGUCAGGACUGCUGAUCCUUUUAGAUUUGUCAGCAGCCUUUGACAUGGUCGAUCAUGAUCUUCUGGACCACCGCCUCGCAGACGUGGGGAUACAGGGCAUAGCCCGUAACUGGUUGUGCUCUUUUAUCUCUGGUCGGGGACAGAGGGUGGCACUAGGGAGGGAAAUGUCGUCACGCCACUCCUUGGUGUGUGGAGUGCCGCAGGGCGCAAUUCUCUCCCCGAUGCUUUUUAACAUCUUUAUGCGCCCCCUUGCCCAGAUUAUCUGGAGCUUUGGGCUGGGCUGUCACCAAUAUGCUGAUGACACUCAGCUCUAUCUGCUGAUGGAUGGCCACACCGACUCGGCCCCGAACACACUGACCAGGUGCUUGGAAGCUGUAGCUGGAUGGUUUCGUGGGAGCCAAUUGAAACUAAAUCCUUCAAAGACAGAGGUCCUAUGGCUAGGUCAGGAUGGCAUGGAGAUGAGGGACCAACUCCCUUCUCUUGCGGGGGGCCCAAUUAGUGCCAUUGCCUUCCGUUAAGAGUUUGGGUGUAAUCCUUGACGCCUCCCUUUCCAUGGAGGCGCAAGUUACAGCAACAGCCAAGGCGACAUUUUUCCACCUUCGCCGCAUCAAGCAGUUGGUCCCUUACCUUUCCCGCCCCGACCUGGCCACAGUGAUCCAUGCGACGGUCAUCUCCAGGCUUGACUACUGUAAUUCGCUCUACGCAGGGCUGCCCUUGAAGCUGUCCCAGAAACUCCAGCGGGUACAGAAUGCUGCAGCGAGGCUCCUCACGGGGUCUCUGCCAUGGGAGCAUAUUCACCCAGUGCUUUUCAAGCUGCACUGGCUCCCGGUGGAGUACAGGGUCAGAUUUAAGGUGCUGCUUUUGACCUUUAAAGCCCUUAACGGCCUAGGACCCUCGUUCCUACGGGACCGCCUCUCCUGGUAUGCCCCACGGAGAGCCUCAAGGUCCAUAAAUAACAACACCCUAGUGGUCCCAGGCCCUAAGGAAGUUAGACUGGCUUCAACCAGAGCCAGGGCCUUUUCAACUCUGGCUCCGGCCUGGUGGAACGCUCUGCCUCAUGAGACCAGGGCCCUACAGGAUCUGAUUUCUUUCCGCAGGGCCUGUAAGACAGAGUUGUUCCACCUGGCCUUUGGCUUGGAGCCAAUUUGAUUCCCUCCCUCCCUCUCUUUCCUUUUUCUUUUCCUUCUCCUCCUGCGAUGAGGCUACAUUUUAAUAUUUUAAUGUUCCAUUAUUUUAAUGUUGUAUUUUAUUUUUGUUUUUAAGUUGUAAUCAUUCAUCUUGUUUUUAUUAUUGCUUGUAAGCCGCUCUGAGCCCGGCCUUGGCUGGGGAGGGCGGGGUAUAAAUAAAAAAUUAUUAUUAUUAUUAUUAUUAUUGCCAACCAGUCUUGUGAUCUAGCUGCUUUUGGAUUCUUUUUGUACAGCUGAAUAAGGAAAGCUGAUCACUUCUGGGUACCCCUGUCCUGGCAACACCACCACCUUUUAAGUACACUCAUUGAGCAUCACUCCCUCCCAUCAACAAGCAUGCCUUGCAUUGUGAAGUGACGCUGUGCAGAUUAAAAACCCACAGAACUGUGGAGUUGGAAGGGACCCCAAGGGUCAUCAUGUCCAACCCACGGCAAUACAGUGGUACCUCGGGUUACAUACGCUUCAGAUUACAGACUCCGCUAACCCAGAAAUAGUACCUCAGGUUAAGAACUUUGCUUCAGGAGGAGAACAGAAAUCGUGCUCCGGCGGCGCGGCAGCAGCAGGAGGCCCCAUUAGCUAAAGUGGUGCUUCAGGUUAAGAACAGUUUCAGGUUAAGAAUGGACCUCCGGAACGAAUUAAGUACUUAACCCAAGGUACCACUGUACAGGAAUUACAGCUAAAGACUGUUGGAAAACCUCCAAUGAGGGAGAGUCUACAGCCUUCGGAGGGAGUCCAUUCCACAGCCGAACAGCUCUUACGGUCAAGAAAAGUACUCCUAAUGGUUAGCUGGAAUCUCCUUUCUUGUAAUUCGUAUUGAUUGGUCUGGUUCCUACCCUCUGGAGCAGCAGAAAACAAGAUAAGCACAUCUCUGCAUAUACACAGGAAGGAUGGGGAACCUCAGGCCCAGAGGCUGAAUGUGCCCCUGCAGCCCUCUGUCCGGCCCUCAGGAUUCUCUUCAGGCCACACUCCCUCACUGCGAUGUUUUUGAUUGGCUAGAAUGUGUCCUUGCAUUCUCAUAAUCCUUCUUGCCUGCCUGGAUGCAGGACAGAGGUGCAUGUGAGGAAACUACUGUAAAAUUGACAUUUGCUGCCCCACCCACUUUUGUCUCUGGCCCCACCCACUACAAGCAUGCGGUCCCUAGAAGGGAAUGUGGCCAGUGGUCUGCACCAACUCAGGCUAUGGCGACAAGAUCAGGCGGGUAAUGUGGUGGCACAACAUUCCCCACCUCCCGUUCUUGGCUUUGCCACCCAGCCUUGCAAUUAGCCACUGGCCUGGUCGCCUGUGGCAAGUUGGGGGGCGGGGGAGGAGGGAAGUCAUCCCCUGGGUAAUCAGAAGAAUAUUCCAGAUAAAAGAGAAAGCUGGGGUGUGGUUGUUUCCUCUUGGUACCCACCUCUGGAAUUUCAAAAGCCACCAGCUCACUACCUGGGCCCUGUAAAACAGAGCUAUCACAGCUGCCCCAAACUCCCAAUCCUUUAAGGUUGGAAAGUCUCUUUCUGCUUUCAUUUUUGCUAGCUUGCAUUCUUUAUUCUCCUUGUGCACAGAGUCACGCAAACCACCUAAGCUUCUGCCACCAGCAAGCAGAUGAAGUCUUCUCUGAUCACCCACUUUUCAAGCUCAUCUUUGCCAUCAUACGGGCUAGGAACUUGGUUCUUUUUACAAAUCAAAGUCAAUAAUUGCAGGGAGCUGGACUGUGGACAGCAGUACCCCGGCUCCUGUGCUUCCACCCUGGCUGUCAUAUGCUCAGCAGCUGACACCGUCAAAACAAGCAGAAGGGAUCAAUAUCGUUUUAGGUCAAGCAUCAGAGCUUUUGGAAGGAAGUCAAAUCAGUGACAAAGCUUUUGUCAAGCCCUGAACUUUUGCUUUGGGAUAUGAAUGCAUUCUUUUAACAAGGGAGAGGGAGAGACAAAGAGAAGGCCUCUCUCCCCCCCACCCUCUUUUAAACAUGUCAGCGCAUUUGACUCCUUAAAACACUGAUUUGGCGAUUUAAUAACUUCUUGAUCCACUGUGCUUUGCUCGCAAAGGGACCCUAUCCAACACGGUGCCUCAAAGACGACCCAGCCAGGUUCACAGUGAAAAAUGCACCGUGCCCCCAGGAUUAACAUUUUGCAGCAUCAGCACCAAACUUCAUAAUUGUUUUGUUACGAAGGCGUCUCAUGAGCCCGGACCUCAAGAAAACAAAGUAAAGGGCAAAAGUCUCCCUUAGGAAAAAGCAGGGAAACCAAGAGCAAACACAUCUACUCCACACACUUCUGUGACAAAGGCAUGUCCUUGAUGAAAACACCAAACCAUUAAUUCUUGCAACCCAUUAAAGCAAAUUUCAAGUCCAGCAAAGUAUAGUGGUUAAGAGUGAAGGACCAGGACCUGAGAGACUGAGGUUCAAAUCGACACUCGGUCAUGAAGCUCAAUGGGUGACCUUGGCCGCCACUCACCAUCUUUCUCAGCCCAAACUACCUUGCAAGAUUGUUGUGAGGAUUUUAAAACGGAGUGCGGUUGGGGAGAGAACCAUGUAGUCCACCUUGAGCUCCAUGCUCCCCGUCACACCAAAUCAACCUUGCUGGACAACUGACCAAAGCCAGACCCCCAUCCAACAUACUUUCUGCACCUCUACGAAUGUACAGAGAAGCUGUAGCAGCUGUAAACUUUGGGGAGAAGGGUCACGUUUUUUGCUUUGCUUUAAAAAGUAUGGGUUGGUGGCAGCGGUUGUAAUAAAUGAAUGGGAAAACAGCCUUGUAAAUAAGGCGGUAAGUAAGUAGCCUGCAAUCAUCUUUUACCAGCAUGAUCAGACGCAGGAUGGAACACUCUGUCACUGCUCUACCAGCCCACUGCUUGCAAUUCCUUAUCAUCUAUGGGGAAGAGUUGUCGCUCGGUUGUUAGAGUGUUAACUUUGCAUGCAGAAGAUCUCAUGUUCAAUCUCCAGGUAAGGCUGUGAACGUCCCCCAAGUCUGAAAUCCUGGACAGCUACUGACUGGGUAGGUGCUAGUAGAUAGACAGACCAAAGGGAAAAGGCAGCUUCCUAUUUUCCUAAAUAGUGAUGUAAGGAAGGGAGAGCUGGACCAUAAAGAAGGCUGAUCACCAAAGAAUUGAUGCUUUUGAAUUAUGGUGCUGGAGGAGACUCUUGAGAGUCCCACGGACUGCAAGAAGAUCAAACCUAUCCAUUCUUAAGGAAAUCAGCCCUGAGUGCUCACUGGAAGGACAGAUCCUGAAGCUGAGGCUCCAAUACUCUGGCUACCUCAUGAGAAGAGAAGAGUCCCUGGAAAAGACCCUGAUGUUGGGAAAGAUGGAGGGCACAAGGAGAAGGGGACGACAGAGGACGAGAUGGUUGGACAGUGUUCUCGAAGCUACCAGCAUGCAUUUGACCAAACCGUGGGAGGCAGUGGAAGACAGGAGUGCCUGGCGUGCUCUGGUCCAUGGGGUCACAAAAGAGUCUGACAAGACUAAAUGACUAAACAACAACAUUUUCCUAAAAGGAGAGGGCUUAAUAUCUAAGACUGGGUUAGCAACUGAUGCAAAAGGGCCUUCAGAUCAUAAACCGCAACUUUCAAGGAUGCUCAGCCACUCAGAUAAGGUACUUCCUCUCUCUAUAGCACCUGACACAACAAACGAAGGAUAGGGUCAAGGAAGAGGCAACUCAGCCAGCAGCGUGUGAAAAAUAUCGGCUCCCACGAACAGUGUUCAAAAUUAGCCAGGCAAAUUUUGCACCUGGCUUUCGACCACUUACAACCAAGCAAAGAUGCCUGAGUGCCUGAAUGGAGCCUGGCAUUUCCACCAUCUGGAGGUGCAUGCCUGGGGAUCCUUGGAUUUUGACUGCUUUCACACACUAAUACCCCAUUCUGUAGAAUUCUACCAGUUAUAUUUUAUCUGCACCAUAGGAAUGAAAACCAAAAUGCUUUUCUCUGUGCAGCCUGAGCAGGAGCAGUCACCACAUUGGUUUAAGAAGAUACUUGGCGCCUAGCUGAUAUAUCUGAGCUUCUGACACCACCCAGGAAAGGUCUCCAUAAAAUGGGUAGAGAACUUAUGGUACACAGAGAAGGUCCCAGAUUCAGCGGCAGUGUGUCCAGUUACAGAAGGGAUGGGGAACUUGAAGCCCAGAAAUGUAGCCCUCUAGGUCUGUCUAUCUUCUACCCCUCCAAACUCUCUCUCCUCACCAGCCCUGCUUCACAAUCUCCUUGAGCAUUUUUGCCUGACUGGAACGUGUCCUUAAACUCUGAGCAUGCUUCCUGCUUGCCUGGAGAGAGGCUAGAGAGGUGGUGUGUGUGUGUAAAAUAGUCCCAUUGGCAAAGGUAAAAUGGAAAUUCAUUCCUCUGCCCAUUUUUAAUUCCAGCCCCUGCCACUGGCAUGUAGCCCUUUGAAGGUUUCCCAGAAGGGAAUGUGAUCUGGGAAAGGUAACCCAUCACAAGUUAAAGGAUCUCAAGUAACAGGUGGCAGGCGGAGGGGGUUGGGAGAAGCCACAGAAAUCACAUUGGUUGAUUAGAAAACCCCAAAAGUUCAUUUUAGAAUGGAAUAAUUUCAAGAUUUAUUUGAAAAGUAGUUGUAAUCUAAGCACUGUAGUUGCCUUUGAAUGAUUUCUGUAAAUAAUGUGUAUGAAACAAAAUGAUAUCGAAAUAGAAAAAGAGAAUUUUUACAAAAUAAUGAUGAAUUAAAGUAAGAUGUUUAUUAUAAAAGGAAUAUGGAGAGGAUGGGAAGUCAUAGGUUUGUGUAGAAAAUGCGUAAUUGAAUUUGUAUGCAUUUUUUGUGAACAUGGACAUUCUUAUUGGACUGAUUGAAAUGAAGAUAAUUAUGUGUUGUAUAUAUAUAUAUGGAAAAUGAACAAUAAAGCAUUUUAAAAGAAUUUAAAAACCAAAAUCCAUAGGUGAGCAUUUAAGGAUCAACCACAAUGCUAUGAACUUGCAAGAAAACUUUUGAGUUCACCACAGUUCCACAUCAGGCUGGAAGUUAAGGGGAGCAGAGGAGAAGCUGGCUUGAUAUCGAAACCUGCAUUUAGUCCAUGGAUUUAAGAUGGAGCUAAGGAAGAGACUGGGACUUAACACGCCUCAGGACCUUGAUACCUUAAGGACAGCUUCUCCCCACACAAACGGACCCAGGCCCUGUGCUUGUCAUCUGCGGCCCUUCUCUGUGUCCCCUUUCCCCGAGAAGUUUGGAGGGCAGCAAUGCGAGAAUGGGCCUUUUCUGUGGUGGCUCCCCGAUUGUGGAAUGCUCUCCCCAGGGAGGCUCACCUGGCGCCAUCAUUACAUGUCUUUGGACUCCAGGCAAAAACAUUCCUCUUCACCCAGGCUAAUGACUAUUAAAUAAUCUAUGGCCUGCAAAAGAGCGCUGUUAGUAUGAUGAUUAUUCUACUAUUAGGCUGUCUGUCACCAUGCUUUUUACUGUUUCUAUUACGCUUUUCUCAUUGAUGCUUUGUAAUGUGUCCUUAAUGUUAUCCAACGCCCUCAGGUCUUUCGAUAAAGGACGGUAUAUACGG